GAGGGCGAAGCCCGAAGCUCCGAAAAUUUGUGCUCAAGGUCAGGCCCGUUGAAAUUUCGAAACUGGGCAUUCAACUCGAUAAUUUAUGAAACGCGUUUGGGUAUAACUACGAGUUGGGAAGGGUACGCGCACAACAACACAGGCCUAAGACCAAAAAUAUAACAAAACAAAAACCGAGGCAAAACGCGCAAGCGUGGCUCCAGAACUUUUCGCAUCGGCGAAAGGGAGACGGCAGCUUGUCCAAAUAUGGAGCAGGGAAAUGUCUCUGUCUGCCAGAACGAUCCAAUCCAUUGAUCGAGAUAGCUCUCAGUCCGGAUUUAUUCUCGGCGCAGUUUGCAAGGGGUUUGGGUGACCAUCAUAAAUUUUCCCUGACGAUUUGAUUGCUGCUCUUUUGGCUUUUUUGUAAAUUUUAAAUAGUCAUUUUACUCGCUUCAUACCCAGCGAAGUUCUUUCAACCCAGUGACUCAGAUUGGAUAGCAGUACAGCCUUGGCAGUGAAACAAAUGGAUUUUAACGCGGCUUGUAAAUUCUGUUAUCUAGAAAAGGCAAACGAGACAUUCGCAGCGGCAACAUUUUUUUUUAAAUAACUGAUAAGCGUAGCUAAAAAACGCUCUUGAUAGCUACUUAUGAGCACACAGAAAACUACGGAGCCACAUGGCACUUAUUGGCAGGAAUCCUAUUCAAGAAUAUUACCUGUAUCUGGUUGCACUCACUUCUACCUGUUACUCACUUUGGCUCACUUUACCCCUGACUGGUAAAACAAUUUCCAUUUAAAAUGUAAUAAAUUGAGAACCGCUUUGAAUAUUUCUCACAGGGCCUUAAA